CAAAUACCUGCAGGGGCAUGUUCUUAAUUUUCAGUAUGUACUUAUCAUCUCAUCCAGGUUCUGCACUCGUGGUUAUAAAGCACAGUAUCUCCAGCUGUAAGAAAUCAUUUGAAAUUGUGGAAAAUUCGACCUGCGUGUAGUUUUCCUUUCAAACUUUCCUUAAUUUUAAAAAGGUCAGACUAGUUGGAACAAUAAUUAGCAGAACAAACACUACUGUCCUCAGAGGAGACCUUGUCUGCCAAGCUACUGACUCAAGAACGGUUACAGCUGAGUUACAGCCCAGCCCUCCUUCCUGCCCUGGGAAGCAGACCUGAGGUAGGCUGGAAAUUGCUGACAGACCCUGAACUUCAGCUGUGCAGUGGGUUCCCUUCCAGCUGAAUUCAAUGGGCAAACCAAGGGCUCUCCCUGUCUUUGGGGGUUCCUGUGCUUCACCUGAUGCUAAAUCAUAAGGUUGGUUUUUAGACUGAAACGCUGCAGCCUUCAGAAGUGCUCUCUGAUGGCUGCUGGGGGAGGCAGAGCACCCAGCUGGAGGGACCCGUGGUGCAGCGCAGGUCAUUUCUUCAGCAGUGCCUGCUCUGUUAAAUGUAGCUGGAGCGCUCCCGUUUGAGACCACAGCUUGAGCAGAAAUCCCAUUUGUGCACUGCAGGACCGUGCAAUGGCACUAACGGAAAUAUGAGUAAGGAAGCAAAAGAGAAGCUGAAUGUUCACAAAAUUGAACACGGAUUCAGAUGAGACUAGCAAACCUGGUUUUUUCUUGCAAAGAUGUCCCUUAUCACUCUUUUACUCACCAAGGUAGGUCAAAACAUUUCAAACUGGGAAAAAUUUUGUAUUGUCUGUUGAACCCAAUCAAGCCACGAUUUAAUUAACUGGAUUGAGAGAGAGAGAUGCCAGUGAGUUAUCUGUGCACCUGGCAGUGUGUGCAGAAUACUAAUAGCCUGGGUAAUGUUCUCCAAAUUCUUGAUCGGCAGCAGCUGGAGCAAAUUUUUGACUUUGAUGAGUAGGGAAAAAGAAGAAAUCUAUUUCAGCGCAGUGACAGUAGUAUAUUUACAUUACAAACACGGCAAUUGCUAAGCAUUACUGGAAUUCUGCUGCCACAAUAAAGGCAGUGGCAUUCAUUUAGUUUCAUUUCCAAUUAUAAGAGAUCCUGCUGGUUUUUCUCCAUAAUAAAAACUUUGCAAACCGAGCUUCAUUACACAACUACAUGGGCUGCUACCCAUCUUGUCUGACUACGGAUGUCAUCGUCUGUCAUCCCAAGCAUUUUGAACUCGUUCAGGUUUGGAGAGAGGAAAAGCAGUCUUUGGUCCUGUGAUUACUGUGAAACGUCUUUUAUUUCAUAGCUGAGCAUGGAAACGGGCAGCCUGGUGCUGGGAAGGGUGUCUGUCCCUGGUAAAUGGAGGACAUCCCUCAUCCCUUUGUUCACCAUGGGAGCUGAAUCUUUGGCAAGCAGCUCCUCUUACUAGAGUAAACGGUGACAUUUGUUAAGUGCUUCCAAACUGGCGCUUUGUGAAUUUUCAAUACACCUAUCUGGCAUCUGAUCCAAUUGUCACUGCAGCAAAGUCAGUGGGAGUCUUUCCACUAACUUCAGAGCCACAAAGAAAGUCUCCUGCUGUAUGGUUUGUACAAGCAGGAGGCAGGGGAGGGAGGGAGGGAGGAUAAUUUACUGGUAGUUGGGGAAUUUCUUACAGCGACAGCAUUGCAGGGAAGGCGAGUGAGGUCAGAGGUUGUAGGACAUUAGUGGCCUAGGACAGCAAUUCGGUCUGGUCGGUACAUCGCCUGCAGCUCCCAUUUCAAGGCAGGUGACCCGGUAAUAAACAUUAUUCAAGGAAAUUUGAUGGGAACAGAUAGUUAAAAAAAUGAGGCAUGUUGGAACAAAUCCUGCUGCCAGCCCAAAAGUGAUGUUACUGAAAGAACAGGGUGGAGUGAAUAUUUCUUUUAAAGUUCUGCCUCAGAAAGGUUACUGAGGCUUUCCCUUUCCUUCCACACACAAGGAGCAGUCCCCCCAAACCCUGCCUGAGACCCCAGCCCUUUGACUUGCCUGUAGAGGCUUUGGGAAGCAAGGGAAACUGAGGCAGUGCAGUAGGCACAGUGCCUAAAGUCUCCUGUAUGGGGCCUGUCUAGUGGCUCCUCAGCUCCCAGCAGGAGCAAAACAUGUCAGCUGUGACACGGAGCUUCUCAUGGCUGUGAGCGGAGCAAUGCAUGGGUUGGAUCCGAUUCAUUAAUGAACUUGUGUAUGUGGUAGCUCUACUGCUUCUUCAGGCUUUUGCUACUAUACAAUGAAGUACAUGAUUAAAACCAGCAGAAGUCAGCUCAGGAUCAAUCUGGUGUGAGUAGGUCCUUUUAAAUACAAGGUACUUUAGUGGCAUUUUCAGUUGGAGUUGCCACUUGCUGAACAUUUGGAGGGUAUUGGUUAGGUUACAAUUCUCAGGAAACAUUAAUUCUCUUCAGACCUAGUGCAAGAAAAUUUUAUUGUGCAUGCAGCUGUUCAAGAUUAAGUAAUUAUGUGAUGAACCUUUGGAGGUGAUGAAUUUUAGAUGAAGCAUGUACACAUUUUUAUUAUGCGUACUUUUUUCUUCAUCUAUUUUCUCUUCAUUUGGUCACUCGUUUAUGUGGAAGCAAUGAGCAAAAUCAGCAUAUUUCACUCUUUAGAAAGAAAAUUUCCAUUUACAUAGCCUUAAUGCCUUCAGCCCACACAUCCUUCAGUGAAUUUUCAAAAACCCACUGAUGUAUUACACUCCACAUAGCAACUUCAAUAAACAGGUCAUCUGAAAAAGACCAAGGUUAGACCCUCAGCUGGGCUCAGCAGUCUUUUCUCUCUUGGGCUCUUUUUGAGCUCACCUAGAACCGUUUCACCUUGGGCUGAGCAGGGGUGGCUUGUAGGGGAUCAAGACCCAGGUCUCAUCAGGAGAUGUUUUACAUGCUGCUUUGUUGUUUGGAAAAGGUUACAAAUCAUAAGUUUCUUCUCUUUACUUUGUUCUUUGCAGGCAGCUAAAAGAUCACUCUGCUAAAACGGGUUUCUGAAAAGCACCAAAAAAAGAUGAAAGAGAGAAAAGCAAUUCUGAAACAAUGAGUAAAAGGGUAUUUUCAAGAAAGGCAAGAUGAUCAGUUUUUAAGCCUUUUAAAUACUUUGAGUCCCUAUUACCUAAAGUGUAUGUAUGUAACGGUCCAACCUUAGCAAAGCCAGCAGCAGCUUUGGGUUUCAGGCCAGAUCCAUUCUCAAAGCAGAACACCAUGAUUUUGGCUCCAGAUCACAAUAACUUUUCCUGCCACCUUGACACUCUCCUGCCCCGCUGCUUAGACCAGAGACUUUGCCCUGGGGCAAUACGUUCUGGAACUGUUCCAGCAAAGGCUGAAGAUGUUAUUCUCUGGCCAUUAUACCAGAUCCAUGCAUUUACAGGACCACCUAGCAACACAGAUUGGAACCAAAUCAGGCAUGGAUAUGCAAUUGCAUUAACCAAAAUAUAUGAGGAGCAUAUGUUUAUUUUCUGGUAGCUGAAGAUGGUAUGGGAUCUCGGAAAAUGUUCAAGUGCUUCAGACAGAUGGUACGUGAUCCAGCAUAAAGCCUGCCAGUGAAAAGUUAACCUGUCAACGUUUUCUUUUUUUUUUUAACAAAUCUGAAUCAGCAGAGCAAAUUUAUACUGGAUCGGUGCUUUGUGUCUCACAGCUGCAGCAGAUUUAUCUAAGAUGGUUUUAUUAUAUUAUUGGACCAUGAUGAAAGUGUGCAGAAGAUGUGAAUACAGCUGAAGGAACUGUAUUUCUGUCAGGAAAACAGACCCCGUAAGAUACCUCACCCUGAAGCUGUUUGUCUCUGGCUACAUUGCUUUUAAGCCUACGCCUGAGAGCCUUUUUCCUUGAUUGCCUUUCCUUCAGGCUGAGCUUCCACAGCACAGUGCCGUGGUGCAGUACACAGAAAUAUUAGCACUCUCAAAGAGGUUAUACAGCAAGAAAGAACAGUAUAUUGAUGUAGAUAGAGGUAUUUAUAAACAAACACAGGUACAAAGCUGUAUGAAAGAUCUCUGCUGCUUCCUUUCACAAUAGCCCACGUGAUGCCAGCACACCCAGCUGUUCCUGGCUGUCCUUCAAGGGGAUAUUCUCUUUCCUGCUGUCCCUUGAAGGUACAAGAAUGGGCUGAGGUAUUCAGUUGUGCUCGUAAAACCCUUCUCAUCCUCCCAGUGCCCUGUCCGAGCCUGCACAUGCUGCAACACCCCAGAGGUGCUACCAGGAGGAAAGCAGCUCAGUAAUUUGCUGUUUUGCACAGGCAUGUUGGAGAAGCUGGGGUACAGAAAGGCGUUUGUUGGGCUGCUCUGGAUCAGGGUGGGUGCUGCUGCGUGGGGGGCUGCCUCCUGCUGCGGGCGCCUUGGGGCAGAGCCCUGCACCCUCACGGGCCAUGACCUCUUUGAAGUUCAUUUGAUCAGGUCUGGUUUGUUUGUCUACAUUUAUUUAAGAGGAGAGGACUACUGAGUUUGCUACUUGUCCGAUUUGUUUUCUGUGUGUAUACAAAAGCCCCAGAUCUUGAUUAUAGGUGGAAUCUUCCCACAAGUUUCUGUUUGGUGAGUAGCACUUUGACCAAUAAGCAAAGUCUCCAUUGUCUUUACUUUCUCUCUCAAACAACUAAAGCAAGUUUCAUAAGCCUAAAUCAGGUAUAUAUUGAGGAAGAGCCUGUAUUUUAGUGAGACCUCUCCAAGCCUACUAGGAUCUGCGUGAUCGAUCAGUGUUAAGACCUCAGCUGACUUUCUAUCAAACUCAGUCUGGAGUAGGAGCACAGUUACAUUCAUUCAAGACUCCUACUGUAUCUCUUUGAUUUAAUACAGCAGUAGGUAUGAUCGACCAGUAUCAUGGAGCACUUUUUUGGAUGCAGUUAAUGUUGUUCUGUAGACAACAAGACAAAUGGGAUGAAGCUCCAUAUAUAGGUUUGUUUUCCCCU